GAUGAACGCUGGCGGCGUGCCUAAUACAUGCAAGUCGAGCGAACAGACGAGGAGCUUGCUCCUCUGACGUUAGCGGCGGACGGGAGAGUAACACGUGGAUAACCUACCUAUAAGACUGGGAUAACAUCGGGAAACCAGAGCUAAUACCGGAUAAUAUAUUGACCCGCAUGGUUCAAUAGUGAAAGACGGUUUUGCUGUCACUAAUAGAUGGAUCCGGGUCGCAUUAGUUAGUUGGUAAGGUAACGGCUUACCAACGCUACGAUGGGUAGCCGACCUGAAAGGGUGGUUGGCCAGACGGGAUGUGAGGCAGGGCACAGACUCCUGCGGGAGGCAGCAGUAGGGAAUCUUACGCAAUGGGCGAAAGCCGGACGGAGCAACACCGCGUGAGUGAUGAAGGUGUUCGGAUCGUAAAGCGCUGUUGUUAGGAAAGAACAAAAGUGUAUGUAACUAUGCACAUCUUGACGGUACCGAAACAGAAAGCCACGGCUAACUACGUG
rnacentral:rRNA from 1 species